UACGUAGGGUGCAAGCGUUGUCCGGAAUUAUUGGGCGUAAAGAGCUCGUAGGCGGUCUGUCGCGUCGAAUGUGAAAACCCGGGGCUCAACCCCGGGCCUGCAUUCGAUACGGGCAGACUAGAGUUCGGUAGGGGAGUCUGGAAUUCCUGGUGUAGCGGUGAAAUGCGCAGAUAUCGGGAGGAACACCGAUGGCGAAGGCAGCACUCUGGGCCGGUACUGACGCUGAGGAGCGAAAGCGUGGGGAGCGAACAGG
rnacentral:rRNA from 1 species